UCCUGCCCCCUCCCUCAUCGUAAAAAUAUAUUCCGACGUCUGGAAGGAUUUCUCACCUUUCGUGUGGGGUUAAAAGGGGGAGGGAGAGUAGAAGAGCGCUCGGGACAAUGUGGGGCUUGACCUUGUCACUCUUAUAUGAAGCAAAAACAGAGGCAUGGGACCAAUCUGCUGCUGCUGUCCUGAUCCAAAUUGGUCCCAGCACCAGGUUUCCACCAAACCAUCACUCUGCCUGGCUACUAUUUAUCCCCGAAGGAAGCUGUUUGCAGUAAAUUGCACAGAACCGUUGUUUCUUACAGAAGUCAGGGGGACAAACAGCAGGUGGAGCCAAUGACAGGCAAAGCCACUCCCCUGAUUGACUGUGAGUAAGAAGGUCGGCAGGUUGUUCAAACAGCAAGGGUAGCAAACAGACCUUACUGGGAACUCAUAUAGCGCAUGGAUGACAAACAGGAUAUGAGCCCAACCACAGCAGUUUUAAGGACCAUACACAUAAUGAAAAGUAAGACAACAAUAAGGUGUUGAUUCACAGUCUAGUUCCUGUCAUCAACAACAUCAGAGAAUUCACAUCACUUUUACAGAUUAGCUGCAAUGUUGUCUGAGCAUUUGGGGAUGGGAAUGAAAAGAUCUUGCUCAUUGCUGUUCGGACAGUUGAGCUUAUGAAGAACCUGGCAUUGGACAAGUAGGAAAACUGAGGCACAGAGCUGUAAAGUGGUUUUCCUAAUGCAGUAAUUUGAGAGCAAUUACACAUUUUCUUUAUCUUUAUCUCUUGGGCCCAUUUCCAAGAUGGAUAAAAAGAGACCGCUGGCUCAUAGUCUCCUUGGUGUAGCCAAGGAUGGUCCUCAACCACACAAAAAAAAUCUUCAGUGCCUCUUUCCAUUGGUUCAAGCUUUGGAUGCCUUAUUUUGUAUUGCAUAUGUAGCCUCCAUUUUAACACAUGAUUUGCAUGCAUGAUUUAUAGCUGUCACAUAAGAUGAUCUGAUCAUAAUUGCAUAUAUUUAUCUGAUUACAAUUGCUUGCAUGUGCACCCGGUUCUCAAACAGGCACUGCUGAAUGUAAAAUUAAUUAAUUAAUUAAUUAAAAUUAAAAUUAAACAACUGUGAAUGUAACGCUGGCCACAAAGGUCAGUGCUGCCAGCUUUACAAGGGAAGACGAGCUAUUAAUACUACUAGUGGGAUCUGCCACAAAAGCUGCAGAGUGGUGGAGUGAUCCUGUUCAGUAUUCAAGCAACUUGGCCAUGCCUUCUUCUGGGAUAUUUCAUUCCAUUCCCUUUUUCUGUAGUUUUCCAUCCCCAACCCCUCAAUAUUCAGUCAGCAUUCUGUGGCCACUGAGCAUACUCAGUCCUUGUUGGGCUGGCUUGGGGUUGUUCUCUCCUUACAUUUUCCCCCUAAAGAUUUUUUGUGUACUUCCUUGGUAUUUCCCAGAGCCCGCUGAUGCCUCCCUCUUGUGCAGUUUUGGCUACAUAAGGAUCUACACUCACCCCUGAACUUGGAAUAUAGAGGAAAUUAUUUGUUCCAGGUCUUCGGUAAAUAGCUGAGUAGAGAGCCUGUGAGAAGCAUCCCCUGAGCCUGACUUUCCCAGCAGUCUACUGGUUAGCUAGCCACUAAAUUUGGCCCUGGAUGUAGCUCCUGAGAUGCAUACACAUCAUAGCUUUAAAGGAUAUCCCCCCCCAAGAAUCCUGUAGCUUACCCCUCACAGAACUACAAUUCCCAGCACCCUCAGCAAACUACAGUUCCCAGGAUUUGGGUGUGUGUGUGUGUGUGUGUGUGUGUGUGUGGAUAUGCACUUUGAAUGUGCUUUAAAGAUAUGGUGUGUAAGCAGGCCUGAGACAUUCAACUUCCAAAGGCAGAGCAAGUGUUCAGUAGUCUCGGUUCCCAGCUAUCAAUGAUGACACAAUACUAAUGUUGGUUACUAGUUCUAAGUGAGCUAUGUUUUGAGCUUUUGUGCAAAUAAAACACUGGAAACUAGCAUCAUAUGAUAAACUCCCUGAAUUCAAAAACCCCAACAAAACAGUGUCUUCCCUUUCCUUU